rfam:Arabis alpina cultivar Pajares Aa.chr1_contig_2939, whole genome shotgun sequence.
AGCCAUGAGGUGAGCACAAAGCGAACUAUUCUUUCGCCUUUUACUAAAGAAUACCGUGUGCUCUCCUCGCUAAGUGGCAUACGCCUAUUUUUGGAGGGUUUCUUACUCUUGAGUGAGAC